rnacentral:rRNA from 1 species
AGCCAUGCCGCGUGUAUGAAGAAGGCCUUGGGUUGUAAAGUACUUUCAGCAGUGUAGGAAGGUGGGUAUGGUUAAUAGCAUAUUCAUUUGACGUUUAGCUGCAGAAGAAGCACCGGCUAACUCCGUGCCAGCAGCCGCGGUAAUACGGAGGGUGCGAGCGUUAAUCGGAAUUACUGGGCGUAAAGCGCAUGCAGGUGGUUUGUUAAGUCAGAUGUGAAAGCCCGGGGCUCAACCUCGGAAUUGCAUUUUGAAAACUGGCAAACUAGAGUACUGUAGAGGGGGUAGGAAUUUCUAGGUGUAGCGGUGAAAUAGCGUAGAGAUCUGAAGGAAUAACCGGUGGCGAAGGCGGCCCCCUCGGACCAGAUAACUGACACUCAGAUGCGAAAGACGUGGGGAGGCAAACAAGGAUUAGAUACCCUCGGUAG